rnacentral:rRNA from 1 species
CGCAAGUCAUCAGCUUGCAUUGAUUACGUCCCUGCCCUUUGUACACACCGCCCGUCGCACCUACCGAUUGAAUGACUCGGUGAAAAAUUGGGACUGUGACCCCGCUUGAAGUAAUUGCGAGCGGAUUAAUGGGAACUUUUUUAAACCUCGCCAUUUAGAGGAAGGUGAAGUCGUAACAAGGUUUCCGUAGGUGAACCUGCGGAAGGAUCAUUA